rnacentral:rRNA from 1 species
AGACCCGAAACCCGGUGAUCUAGCCAUGGGCAGGUUGAAGGUUGGGUAACACUAACUGGAGGACCGAACCGACUAAUGUUGAAAAAUUAGCGGAUGACUUGUGGCUGGGGGUGAAAGGCCAAUCAAACCGGGAGAUAGCUGGUUCUCCCCGAAAGCUAUUUAGGUAGCGCCUCGUGAAUUCAUCUCCGGGGGUAGAGCACUGUUUCGGCAAGGGGGUCAUCCCGACUUACCAACCCGAUGCAAACUGCGAAUACCGGAGAAUGUUAUCACGGGAGACACACGGCGGGUGCUAACGUCCGUCGUGAAGAGGGAAACAACCCAGACCGCCAGCUAAGGUCCCAAAGUCAUGGUUAAGUGGGAAACGAUGUGGGAAGGCCCAGACAGCCAGGAUGUUGGCUUAGAAGCAGCCAUCAUUUAAAGAAAGCGUAAUAGCUCACUGGUCGAGUCGGCCUGCGCGGAAGAUGUAACGGGGCUAAACCAUGCACCGAAGCUGCGGCAGCGACACUGUGUGUUGUUGGGUAGGGGAGCGUUCUGUAAGCCUGUGAAGGUGUGCUGUGAGGCAUGCUGGAGGUAUCAGAAGUGCGAAUGCUGACAUAAGUAACGAUAAAGCGGGUGAAAAGCCCGCUCGCCGGAAGACCAAGGGUUCCUGUCCAACGUUAAUCGGGGCAGGGUGAGUCGACCCCUAAGGCGAGGCCGAAAGGCGUAGUCGAUGGGAAACAGGUUAAUAUUCCUGUACUUGGUGUUACUGCGAAGGGGGGACGGAGAAGGCUAUGUUGGCCGGGCGACGGUUGUCCCGGUUUAAGCGUGUAGGCUGGUUUUCCAGGCAAAUCCGGAAAAUCAAGGCUGAGGCGUGAUGACGAGGCACUACGGUGCUGAAGCAACAAAUGCCCUGCUUCCAGGAAAAGCCUCUAAGCAUCAGGUAACAUCAAAUCGUACCCCAAACCGACACAGGUGGUCAGGUAGAGAAUACCAAGGCGCUUGAGAGAACUCGGGUGAAGGAACUAGGCAAAAUGGUGCCGUAACUUCGGGAGAAGGCACGCUGAUAUGUAGGUGAAGUCCCUCGCGGAUGGAGCUGAAAUCAGUCGAAGAUACCAGCUGGCUGCAACUGUUUAUUAAAAACACAGCACUGUGCAAACACGAAAGUGGACGUAUACGGUGUGACGCCUGCCCGGUGCCGGAAGGUUAAUUGAUGGGGUCAGCGCAAGCGAAGCUCUUGAUCGAAGCCCCGGUAAACGGCGGCCGUAACUAUAACGGUCCUAAGGUAGCGAAAUUCCUUGUCGGGUAAGUUCCGACCUGCACGAAUGGCGUAAUGAUGGCCAGGCUGUCUCCACCCGAGACUCAGUGAAAUUGAACUCGCUGUGAAGAUGCAGUGUACCCGCGGCAAGACGGAAAGACCCCGUGAACCUUUACUAUAGCUUGACACUGAACAUUGAGCCUUGAUGUGUAGGAUAGGUGGGAGGCUUUGAAGUGUGGACGCCAGUCUGCAUGGAGCCGACCUUGAAAUACCACCCUUUAAUGUUUGAUGUUCUAACGUGGACCCGUGAUCCGGGUUGCGGACAGUGUCUGGUGGGUAGUUUGACUGGGGCGGUCUCCUCCUAAAGAGUAACGGAGGAGCACGAAGGUUGGCUAAUCCUGGUCGGACAUCAGGAGGUUAGUGCAAUGGCAUAAGCCAGCUUGACUGCGAGCGUGACGGCGCGAGCAGGUGCGAAAGCAGGUCAUAGUGAUCCGGUGGUUCUGAAUGGAAGGGCCAUCGCUCAACGGAUAAAAGGUACUCCGGGGAUAACAGGCUGAUACCGCCCAAGAGUUCAUAUCGACGGCGGUGUUUGGCACCUCGAUG